GACGAACGCUGGCGGCGUGCUUAACACAUGCAAGUCGAACGGAAAGGCACUGCUAUUGUGGGGUGCUCGAGUGGCGAACGGGUGAGUAACACGUGAGUAUCCUGCUCUAGAUUUUGGGAUAACUUCAGGAAACUGGGGCUAAUACAGGAUAGGAGACCACGCUGCAUGGAGGGGGUUGGAAAGUUUCGGCGGUUGGGGAUGGAUGCGCGGCUUAUCAGCUUGUUGGUGGGGUAGUGGCUUACCCAGGCAUUGAAGGAUAGCCGGCCUGUGUGGGGGACCGGCCACAUGGGGACUAAGAUACGGCCCAGACUCCUACGGGGGACAGCAGUGGGGAGUAUGGCACAAUGGGCGGGAGCCUGAGGCAGCAACGCCGCGUGCGGGAUGACGUCCUGCGGGUUGUAAACCGCUUUCGCCUGUGACGAAGCGUGAGUGACGGUAAUGGAUAAAGAAGCACCGGCUAACUACGUG
rnacentral:rRNA from 1 species